rnacentral:rRNA from 1 species
GAAUCGUGGAGACAGGUGCUGCAUGGCUGUCGUCAGCUCGUGUCGUGAGAUGGUUGGGUUAAGUCCCGCAACGAGCGACCAACCCCUGCAUUCAGUUGCCAUCGGUAAGGCCGGGCACUCUGGAUGGACUGCCGGCGACAAGCCGGAGGAAGGUGGGACGACGUCAAGUCAUCAUGGCCCUUAUGUCCAGGGCGACACACGUGCUACAAUGGCCGGCACAACGGGAAGCGAGUUCGCGAGGACGAGCGGAUCCCUCAAAGCCGGUCGCAGUUCGGAUUGAAGUCUGCAACUCGACUUCAUGAAGCUGGAAUCGCUAGUAAUCGUGGAUCAGCCAAGCCGCGGUGAAUACGUUCCCGGGCCUU